CUGCUAUAAACUGAAAUCGUUAUUAACCUAUAUCUGAGCAUUCUAUUAUUUUAUUUUUUUAAACAUGACUCACGAAAAUAAAAGUUUUAUUUUCGAAAUAAUAUGCAGUCUUAUUCUGCAUAUUAUUUCGUUUCUUAAGGAUAGUCUAUUUAUAAUCUAAUCUGAGGUGUUUAUUAAGAAUAUUAAGAGUUACAACAGUUUUAGUUUUGUGCUUUAUCAGUUCUAACACAUCCGACAUAUGCAGUGUUAUUGCACUACAAGCCCCGAGUUCGAAUCCCGGCUCGAGGACCCGCCCCCUCUCUCUCACACUUCGUUUCCUGUCAACUCUAAACUCUAAAAUAUAUCAUCAUAAAGUCAAAAACAGCAAAAAAAAAAAAAAAACCUAGAAGGCACCUGUUCUAAUGAAAUUAGUUUAAAUAAGCAAUGCAACUACGCAUGUACAAUAUAUAUCAUCUUAUUUCAAAGACUUCAAGGCCUGAACCAUCUGCUCCACCAAUCCCAAAUGAGGAAGACACACUCCAGUUCUUUGAUGCAGUCAUUGCAAGCUGUGAUCCAGAGCCCAGUCGAAAACCACAUGUGGACAGUGGGCAUGCAGAUGUAGACUUCAUAGUGGCAACCAGUACCAGCGAGCAUGACCUUCACUCUAACUGGGUGCUUCGGGAUCCUCGUCGAAUCUCCAUGACGGAGUCACAGCCCAAGAAUUCAGAUAUCAGUCACGGGCAGGCAGCCCAGCGGAAGGGGGACAUGGGAAGCACAGGCAGUAGGAGAUGUCUGCAACAAAACCCAAUCCACCUGCCAAAAGUUGUGGAGAGUGCCUUUCAGACUCUGCGCUUCAAACCCAAGCUCAAGAAGAAAGAAUAG
ensembl:lncRNA